AGAGUUUGAUCCUGGCUCAGAUUGAACGCUGGCGGCAGGCCUAACACAUGCAAGUCGAGCGGUAGAGAGAAGCUUGCUUCUCUUGAGAGCGGCGGACGGGUGAGUAAUGCCUAGGAAUCUGCCUGGUAGUGGGGGAUAACGUUCGGAAACGGACGCUAAUACCGCAUACGUCCUACGGGAGAAAGCAGGGGACCUUCGGGCCUUGCGCUAUCAGAUGAGCCUAGGUCGGAUUAGCUAGUUGGUGAGGUAAUGGCUCACCAAGGCGACGAUCCGUAACUGGUCUGAGAGGAUGAUCAGUCACACUGGAACUGAGACACGGUCCAGACUCCUACGGGAGGCAGCAGUGGGGAAUAUUGGACAAUGGGCGAAAGCCUGAUCCAGCCAUGCCGCGUGUGUGAGGAAGGUCUUCGGAUUGUAAAGCACUUUAAGUUGGGAGGAAGGGCAGUAAAUUAAUACUUUGCUGUUUUGACGUUACCGACAGAAUAAGCACCGGCUAACUCUGUGCCAGCAGCCGCGGUAAUACAGAGGGUGCAAGCGUUAAUCGGAAUUACUGGGCGUAAAGCGCGCGUAGGUGGUUUGUUAAGUUGGAUGUGAAAUCCCCGGGCUCAACCUGGGAACUGCAUUCAAAACUGACUGACUAGAGUAUGGUAGAGGGUGGUGGAAUUUCCUGUGUAGCGGUGAAAUGCGUAGAUAUAGGAAGGAACACCAGUGGCGAAGGCGACCACCUGGACUAAUACUGACACUGAGGUGCGAAAGCGUGGGGAGCAAACAGGGUUAGAUACCCUGGUAGUCCACGCCGUAAACGAUGUCAACUAGCCGUUGGAAGCCUUGAGCUUUUAGUGGCGCAGCUAACGCAUUAAGUUGACCGCCUGGGGAGUACGGCCGCAAGGUUAAAACUCAAAUGAAUUGACGGGGGCCCGCACAAGCGGUGGAGCAUGUGGUUUAAUUCGAAGCAACGCGAAGAACCUUACCAGGCCUUGACAUCCAAUGAACUUUCUAGAGAUAGAUUGGUGCCUUCGGGAACAUUGAGACAGGUGCUGCAUGGCUGUCGUCAGCUCGUGUCGUGAGAUGUUGGGUUAAGUCCCGUAACGAGCGCAACCCUUGUCCUUAGUUACCAGCACGUAAUGGUGGGCACUCUAAGGAGACUGCCGGUGACAAACCGGAGGAAGGUGGGGAUGACGUCAAGUCAUCAUGGCCCUUACGGCCUGGGCUACACACGUGCUACAAUGGUCGGUAUAGAGGGUUGCCAAGCCGCGAGGUGGAGCUAAUCCCACAAAACCGAUCGUAGUCCGGAUCGCAGUCUGCAACUCGACUGCGUGAAGUCGGAAUCGCUAGUAAUCGCGAAUCAGAAUGUCGCGGUGAAUACGUUCCCGGGCCUUGUACUCACCGCCCGUC
rnacentral:rRNA from 1 species